GGCCUGAGGCGAUGGCGGCCGCCAUGAGCCCGCGCCCGUGCUCCGCCUGCCCGGCGCCAAGCGUGAGCCCCCCUCACUCCACCGUGAGCGGUACAGGCACAAGGAGGAUGCACACGUAAAGUUCGCGGUGUCGCCUACUGCUGAGACAGCACUUCUGUUAGUCAGGAAAUACCUAGCCGGUUAAAGGGCUUUGCCAGCAGCUGCUCUGCGCAAAAAUGAAAUAGUUUUGUUCGAGCUAUUGGGAAGAAGGGAGACCUAACCAGUGGAGCAGGCAGCAGCGAGCACCCCUCACUCCAGAAUGUCCCAGAACAAGCUUUAAGGAUGGAUGUGCCAUUAUCGGCUCGGGGCACACCGAGGAGCGAGCCCGACUUUGUGGGUAACAGCAGCAUAGCCAGAACAUCACCUGGGGUGCCCUGCUGCUGAAACUGCACUUUUGGAUCCAGGAAAGGCACAUCAGGUUUGCCCUGGGGUGUGGACGCUGCCCGGCUGUGCGCAGCCCACCCUCACCUCGCUGCCACCCCAGGAGAGCCCGAGACGCCUCGCACCGUUCCCACUCUGCAGUGGCUUUUGCAAAGGGCUGGUUUAUUGGAGCUGCAGAGGAGGAGGCGCACACAGGGGCGAGCAGCUGGCAGCCCCUGGG